CCUACGGGAGGCAGCAGUGGGGAAUAUUGCACAAUGGGGGAAACCCUGAUGCAGCGACGCCGCGUGAAGGAAGAAGUAUUUCGGUAUGUAAACUUCUUUCAGCAGGGAAGAAAAUGACGGUACUUGACUAAGAAGCUCCGGCUAACUACGUGCCAGCAGCCGCGGGAAUGCGUAGGGGGCAAGCGUUAUCCGGAUUUACUGGGUGGAAAGGGAGCGUAGGCGGUUUAGCAAGUCAGAAGUGAAAGCCCGGGGCUCAACUCCGGGACUGCUUUUGAAACUGUUGAACUAGAUUGCAGGAGAGGUGAGUGGAAUUCCUGGUGUAGCGGUGAAAUGCGUAGAUAUUAGGAAGAACACCAGUGGCGAAGGCAGCUUACUGGACUAUAAAUGACGCUGAGGCUCGAAAGCGUGGGGAGCAAACAGGAUUAGAUACCCCAGUAGUC
rnacentral:rRNA from 1 species